ACCAAACCCAACCUCUGGAAUAUGAAGAUUAAAUUGAAAUGCUAUGUUAAAGUUGUUCAAAUUUGUCUCUCAACCCAUUUACGUGUGGGUUCUGAAUAAACCUGUAUGUAGACACGAAGCUUGGAAGCUUUAACAUAAAUGCUGCUCGCCCCUGCCCUGCAUCUCGACCCGGAUGUCCCCCACUUUGCAUGCUUAAUGCAGAUCAUGGCAAAUGCUCAUCUGUUACUAAUUACAGAGCACGCUGGUGUGGGCCCAGAAAACAGAGUCCGCAGAAGCUAAUAAUGAAAUGCUAAGCUAAAAAUAUGCUUAGCAUUUUCUUCCGAAAAGCCGCACUUUAAAAAAGUAAAGAUAAUUAUCUGAGUUACAUUUUUAUUCUACUUUACUUGUAAGUUUGUGUUAGUGUCAAAAUUAUAGUUGAGGUUAAGCUUUCUUGCAGAGUUACUACCACAAAUUAUCAAUAAAUCACAUUAAAAUGAA